rnacentral:lncRNA from 1 species
ACACACGAAACCUCUUUCUCUUUCUCUCUCCAUCUCUCCCUUCUACCUUCUCUCUAAAUUUCUCACUCUAUACCUCAUCUAUUUUAGAAUCUAAUCAUACCACGCUGUAGCAGAGGAGUUAAGGAACAUUUCUACCCGAUCAGAUUUUCAAACAGAGUAAGUUCAUUUUUACUCUAAAUAUCCUUUGUUCUCUGUUUUUCCUUAGGAUUUAGUCAUCAAUCUUGGUGGGGUUAGUUGAGAAGUUUAAUCCUCUCAACUUAUUCUACUAUAUACUGAAAUUUUGUUCUGUUUGGAUAAUUUGCAUUAGGCCCGUAAAUCUUGAAGCUUAUCCAAACGGCGGGGAAUAAAAUUCUAAAAGUUGCUUGGAAAACAAGCAAUUGAG